rnacentral:rRNA from 1 species
AUUGAACGCUGGCGGCAUGCUUUACACAUGCAAGUCGAACGGCAGCGCGGGCUUCGGCCUGGCGGCGAGUGGCGAACGGGCGAGUAAUGCAUCGGAACGUGCCCAGUAGUGGGGGAUAGCCCGGCGAAAGCCGGAUUAAUACCGCAUACGACCUGAGGGUGAAAGCGGGGGACCGAAAGGCCUCGCGCUAUUGGAGCGGCCGAUGUCGGAUUAGCUAGUUGGUGGGGUAAAGGCUUACCAAGGCGACGAUCCGUAGCUGGUCUGAGAGGACGACCAGCCACACUGGGACUGAGACACGGCCCAGACUUCUACGGGAGGCAGCAGUGGGGAAUUUUGGACAAUGGGGGCAACCCUGAUCCAGCCAUGCCGCGUGCGGGAAGAAGGCCUUCGGGUUGUAAACCGCUUUUGUUCGGGAAGAAAUCCUCUGGGCUAAUACCCCGGGGGGAUGACGGUACCGGAAGAAUAAGCACCGGCUAACUACGUG